rnacentral:tRNA from 1 species
GGUCUCGUAGUGUAGGGGUUAACACGCCUGCCUGUCACGCAGGAGAUCGCGGGUUCGAUUCCCGUCGAGACCGCCA